GUGCCAGCAGCCGCGGUAAUACGUAGGGUGCAAGCGUUAAUCGGAAUUACUGGGCGUAAAGCGUGCGCAGGCGGUGAUGUAAGACAGAUGUGAAAUCCCCGGGCUCAACCUGGGAACUGCAUUUGUGACUGCAUCGCUGGAGUGCGGCAGAGGGGGAUGGAAUUCCGCGUGUAGCAGUGAAAUGCGUAGAUAUGCGGAGGACACCGAUGGCGAAGGCAAUCCCCUGGGCCUGCACUGACGCUCAUGCACGAAAGCGUGGGGAGCAAACA
rnacentral:rRNA from 1 species